UAGGCUUUUUUCCUCUUGUGACAUUUUCCUCUCUCUGUGUCCUGUCCUGGUUUUCCAAUUGCACAUAUGUAACUGCUGGACAUGGUCCUGAGUGCAGAGCUGGGGAGCAAAGGAGUAUUCACAGCCAGCUCAGAAUAUGAGGAAUGGCAAACAGCAUUGGAUCCUAGCAGACAGUGAAUCGUCUUUGCAGUUUCUUGACUGCGGAUGUCCCAGCCCGAGACUUUCAGAAACCCCAUUCCUGCAUCAGGGAAGUCUCCUGUCCUUUAAUGGGGUGCUUGUAUCUACACAAGAAAAGAGCCUGUCACUAGAAAGUCCGCCGGCCGGCUCUGGUUGUGAGCACGGCUUAGAAGCUACUCCCGUUCCUCGUAAGCGUCCGACUCCUGAUUUCAUUACCGACCACCGACGGACCCUGUCGCUUGUUUGCCACAAAACAAAAACAGGUGUUUUUUGCACCCGAAACAACACCUUCCUUGAUGAAUAUGCUCCGCAAUGUAAAGCACCAAGUACGCUGAGGGCUCCUGAUAUCGCGGGCCGGGCAGGCUCUCCUCGCUGUGAUGAGUCAGGCCAAGGACGUACCGUGAUGAGAGUCAGGCCAAGGAUGUACGGCGGAGGCUUCCUGAAGAUUUAAAAAAAAAAUCAUGGCCUUCAUCACCUCCUGCCUGGAAGGGCUUGGUGGCCUCCCACCGCUUUAAGCACCUCGUUCCGUCCUGCUUCACCCACUCGGGUUACGGCUUCCACUGCAUCAUGUGGCUCUCCGAAAGCCUCCCCAGCCGGAAGAAUCGAAUCCCGUCCCCUGCGGAGACCGUGCAGCUGGCCAUGGGUCAGGGGUACCUGUCACCGUGGAGAACCAGCAAGAGAAUGACAGAGCUAGAUGCCAGGAAUACUCUCUUCCUUAUCGUGAAUGAUUCCCAGGCUUUCCACCUGCCAGGACAUUUGGGACCAGGUGAAACUGUGGAAAGGUGCUCUGAGGAAUUCCCUUCCUUUUAAAAACCUCAAGAUCCUGCUUAGUUCACUACAAUUUGGUCUCACUGCCAAUAAUGAAAUUAUGCAACAAUUGUAGAAAAUCUUCCCCGGGACGAAGACUCUGCAUUGUGAUUUAUUUGUGUUUUCUCUAAUCUUUACCACAAACACAUCGCAUUAGUAACCUUACUCCCAACAUGUAGAGCUGAGCGGAGGCCACGGGGACAAUGUUGGGUUUAUACCGCUAACAGAGGCUAAGAGAGGACGGCCCCAGAAAUCAAGCUCAACUCUUCCUGUUGACAAAACCCAGACUCUUCCCAGUAUCUUUCACAAAACCCUAAAGGCUGGAAGCCUUUCCAUGUUGAUAUUCCUCAUUAUAUGCUUUUAUUCCCAGCUAAGUAGCCAUUAAGUCAAUAAAUAUGAAAAAAAAAAAAAAAAGCCCAUGAUGUAGCACAUUUUAGUCAUAAGGCCGCGGAAACUAGAGAUAAAACCUCUCACUUCAUACUCAUGGAAAAAUAAGUUCAGUGGAUCGUCCAACAUCCUAGAGGAGUCCAGGGGCAGGGGCAGGACUGGAACCCCAUUUUCUUGACACCAAAUCCAUUGUUUUCUCCCUCCGAGUAACAGGGCCCCCAGAGACGCGUCUUCUUUCUUCUUUACCGUCGGCUACCAGGUCAAGUUUGAACUUCCAUUGGCUUCCACACUUAGAAACGAUAUUUCACAUCCAUCCACAGCCACCACCUCUCCUGAAAUAAAGGGAAAAAAUAAAAAGGAAUUGGAGACUACUCUUCAGAGACUGUAAAUUUCCAUGGAAGCAUUAACACAAUCUAUUAGGUCACAUUAUCCUCAAUUGUGCAGAGGGAGGAAGCCUACUCCACAACGUGAUUUCACGGCGUUUUGAUGUGCGAUUUGCCCGACACGAUGAUGAACGCGAGGACUGAGUGAUGGGGGGCAUGCGAAGCCUACAGCUCUCCUGCGAGGUUUACUUCCCAGGCUUAAAUGAGCUCAGCGCUCACGAACGAUUUGCCUUGACACUGGAAUCCAAUUGGAGUCUGGAAUUACUGUAACUGUUUUCGGCUUGGGUGAUUUAAUCAGCAAAUCUUCAAUAGUGUAAUAUGCAUGUACCGAACGGAUUCCAGACUGAACAGUCUGAUUUACACACGCUCCUUGCAGACAGCCAUUUGUGGCAGGCGUGCUAGCAUCUGUUUGCCUGCAUCUUUGUGACGCAGAUGCCCGUGGUAAUGUGUCAGAACAACUGAAGUCUGUGCUUUAUAUCAGUAAGCCCAAACAAAGAGACAUACGCAGGGGACAAUUCAGCAGAGAGGGGUUUUUUGCCUUAUGAUUUUUUUUUUUCUUUUCCUAAGGACUCUCAAAAUCAUUCACUCACUUGCUUAACAAAUAAUCAUGUGUGUGUACAGCGUAUCAGGCAUUGUCCUGGGUCCAGAGAAGCAAAAG